rnacentral:rRNA from 1 species
CCCUUAGAUGUUCUGGGCCGCACGCGCGCUACACUGUUCGACGCAGCGAGUCAUAACCUUGACCGAAAGGUUUGGGUAAUCUUCAGCAAAGUCGAACGUGAUGGGGAUCGAUCAUUGCAAUUAUUGAUCGUGAACGAGGAAUUCCUAGUAAGUGCAAGUCAUCAGCUUGCGCUGAUUACGUCCCUGCCCUUUGUACACACCGCCCGUCGCUACUACCGAUUGAAUGGUUUAGUGAGAUCUCUGGAUUGACGCUGGCUAGGGGGCGACCCUUGGCCAGACUGUUGAGAAACUGCUCAAACUUGAUCAUUUAGAGGAAGUAAAAGUCGUAACA